UACGUAGGUGGCAAGCGUUGUCCGGAUUUACUGGGCGUAAAGAGCGCGCAGGCGGUCGGAUAAGUCGAAUGUGAAAGCCCCUGGCUCAACCAGGGAGGGUCAUUCGAUACUGUUCGACUCGAAGGCAGGAGAGGGAAGUGGAAUUCCGGGUGUAGUGGUGAAAUGCGUAGAUAUCCGGAGGAACACCAGUGGCGAAGGCGACUUUCUGGCCUGUUCUUGACGCUGAGGCGCGAAAAGCUAGGGGAGCAAACGGG
rnacentral:rRNA from 1 species